AGCCAGCAUUGCACAACUCUUAUGUAAACAAAGCUGUACAUUAAAGUUCUUCCUGUCUUUGAGCAUUUUUGGUGUCGGGUUGAGUCUCACUGGGCUCUGUAGGAAAUAUUGUAUGUUUUCCAUAACAAAGCAAAUUAAAUGUUGGUGUUAGCUCAUUGGUAUCGGGUACAGUGUUCCGUAGGCUCAAUUUUCUUCAAUUCCCCCCCAAUGUUGAAUGUCGACAUAACAUUAUCUUUCUAUCACAUGCCAG
rnacentral:misc_RNA from 1 species